rnacentral:lncRNA from 1 species
AGCUUGUCAUCAGUUAGCUGAAUAGAAAGGGGUAUAGUUGUUUGCUUUUAUUUUUCUGCCUUUGUUUAAUGUUAUUACUUUUUAUGUCCUACCUCAUUGAUCUUCAUUGUUGUGGAAGUGCACCAACAAUGAAGUAGAGUGGUUUGGACUUGCCCAGAAUGACUUCUGCUUCUCGUGUGGUACUACCAUUGUUGUUGUCUUUGUCAGUAUACAUUAUACUACCUAUCUUUGGGUUUGUCCUCUAUUGUAAUUAAUAAGCUAAAUUCUACUAGUUUGUUGUGCAGAGCUAUUGUUGGAUACAUUGAUUUUUUGCAAGUAUUGGACAACAACUUAUUUACCAACAACGGAUUCUUGCACGGGAGAUCAGUAGCAUGAAAAGUUUGUUGACUACAUAAAAGGUUUCUUCUAGUCUUUUCUCACUGGAAUCAGCUGCAUGAAAAGUUUGUGUUUUUCCUUCUUUUGCUAACAGUAAAUUCAUGUUUUUUUAACAAAUAGAAUACUUAAAAAUGAAUUUCUUAUUUGUCACCUUAAGGAAUGUUAACUUCAUAAUGCCCAUUCUAAGUAUAGACAAAAUUGUACGACUUUCGUGAUAGCAAGUCUAGACAAAAUUGUACGACCUUCGUGGUUGCAAUGUUUACUAAUUAAAUUGGCUUUUCUUCUACUCUUGAGCAAGUUAGAACAUAUAAAAGCUAAAAACUGAGCUCAUUUUUGUGUGGCUUCUAGGAAUUUCAUCUAAAGGAAUGUGGAGUAACUGGGUUUUUUUUCCUUUUGUAUUUUUUUUCUUUUCCUUUUCUAGAAAUACAUAUAAUUUCUUCAUAAAAAUGUACACAGUUACCCCAAAUUUCCUUGAAAAAUAAGAUUAUAUUUUUUGUAGCUAGAGUAACAUCUAUUUUUGUACAUACUUGAAAGUUUGGUUUCUCUUAUUUGUUUGGUAAUUAUUUUUUUUGUUAGGUUAGGUAACAUAUCAAAUCCAUAUAAUAGAAAAAAGAGUGACUGUAAUUAUUUUUUAAGGGUAACUGUAGAGGACGUUAGAGAAAACAAGUAUUGUACACCGCUGGUGUAGUACCCGUCCACCUAUAUUAUAUGGACUCAGGUAUGGGUGUCGGGUGUGAGUACGUGCCUAAGUAUUGGAGUUAUCUAAGUGUCCAACAUGAGUACUCUUUUCUUUUAGGAGAGUCUAUAUAACAUAGUUGUCCAAAUAUACACGUACAAUGAUGUUGAGACAUACUUUUGGAGAAUCCUUUUAGUGAGCUACUGCUUAGAAUAUAUAUCACCAUGUCUUGAAAUUAGAAAUGAUACCCACAAGAAAAUUUAUUUUCUUCUCUGGAUCAUUUUUCAAUUUUGUAGAUGUUAUUAGUUGGUAGGUUGUUGCCCUGCAACUUUGGGUCUCUUUCUCUGCCAUGAUUGUUCCUUACCUAUCAGAUAUUGAAGAAUACAAAGAAAAGUAGAUCUGCCAAUGCCUAAAAUGCAUUGCAUACGUGGGAUAGUCAGCAGCAAUUUAUUGUACAUGUGAGAACACGACACAUGCAAAAGUAGAUAUGGCGUUUAGUUUUUGCUGAAAUACCUAACUAUUGUGUUUUCAAGCAUCCAAGUAAUAACUAUAUGAAUUCCAUAUGCAAUGCAUUGCAUGUGUAGGUCCUUUUAAGUAAGCAUUGUUAUCCUCAUUUCUUUUAGCUAAAAUUUUCUAUUGGGAAGAUGUAGGUAGAUACGUUUUCCAUUUACCCAUUGAAUCAAGGAUUCAAUCUUUUUUUUUUCAGUUUGGCUGCUGCUGGAAAAACAAUAUCUUUAUAGAAAGCAUCAAAGGCAAAGGACUUGUCGUUAUUAUUAUUAAUCUUAUUAUCACUAUUAUUAUUAUUAUUAUUAUUAUUCAUGCAAUGCAAGUAUAUUUAUGAAAUAUGUGCAGUUGUUCUUAGUUUUUAGUGCACUGACCAAUAGGUAGAGACGUUUUUCCUUUACACCUGUAUUGUUUUCAUGCUAUUAGCUAUUGAGUCAAAAAGACAGAGGGAGGCCAGUAGGCUUUAAUUGUAUUAUUCUCAGUUUGGCUACUGCUCUAAAGGGAAUAGGUUUGCAAAAAACAUCAAAGGCAAAAGGGCUUGCUAUUUUCUUUUCUUUUUUGUGUAGUUUUUUUAAGUAUUGUUGUAAUUUAGUGCUAGUUUACAGUUUUUAGUGCACUUGCACCUGGUCAUUAAUUUUUAGAGCUCUUAUUCACAUGUAAUAUUUCAUAUGUGUCUCAUUUUAUUAGAAGUUUCAUUAUGUACACAAUAAUUUAUUCAUGUCACUUAGUUAUAUUUUCUAAUUAUAUUCUUGGUGGAUUUUUCUUAUUUAUAUUUUGGUGUUCUUCUAGGUGGUAUUCCUAUCAUCGAAUAGUGUGGCUGGCAUAGAUGGGGAAGAUAAAAUAAUUGUCGUGGAUUUGACGAGGUUCUUGAAGACGUAAUCAUGUGUGUUAGACUGUUAGUAUUCUGAUGCAUAUAUGUUUUAGAGUUACUUCUUUUCUCUGUCAUAUUCACUAAACCGAGUCAGCAUUUUAUUUUAUUUUUUGGGUUUCAUAGGUUUGAUCCUAUUAACAUGUAGGUCAAUCAAGGAGAAUGAAUUCAAAGAUUAGGAGUGCCAAAAGAUACAAAGAUCAAUUUUUUUUUUCCCAAUCUCUACGGGUGUGUUUCUCUCUACAGAUGUGUUUCUAAUAUUAAUCAUCAUUUAAUCUCAUUUCUUUUGUGAUCUCUCUUUUUUUUUGGUUUGAACUAGGAGUUCUUCUAGAUAGCACAAACGAUUUGAUGGAAGAUAGGCUGUGGUUAGUAGUACACUCUGCACUGGCACUAUAACUCUUCAGGUGCACGAUUAUUUUACUUUGCAUUGGUUGUGGCAAGGUAGUUUCUGAUAAAUGCGCGUUAAUUGCAAAUUUAAGGGUAGUUGUGGACUUGAGGAAGGGAGAGAAAAUAAGUAUGUGUCUCCUUUUAUCAUAAGUUUCUUUAUGUCCAUGUAUUUGUUUCAUC